GGAUUCCCUCAGUAACGGCGAGUGAAGAGGGAAGAGCUCAGUUUUGGAAUCUGGCAGUCAUUUGCUGUCCGAGUUGUAAAUUGAAGAGAAUGUCAUCCACACUGGACCAUGUCUAAAUUGUAAUGAUCCACAGUCCUUUGAUGGAGUAUCAGAGAGGGUAAUAAUCCCGUCUUUAACAUGGACUACCAGUGUUUCUGUGAUGCACUCUCUCAGAGUCGAGUAGUUUGGGAAUGCUGCUCUAAUGGGAGGUAAACUCCUUCUAAAGCUAAAUAUUGGCGAGAGACCGAUAGCGAACAAGUACCGUGAGGGAAAGAUGAAAAGAACUCUGGAAAGAGAGUCAAAUAGAACGUGAAAUUGCUGAAAGGGAAGCGUUUGGAGUCAGACGCAUCUUUCAUGCUAUUACCACUCAGCGGCAUGAAGGCUGAGAGCGGUUACUUGAAGAUGGGCCAGUACUCACGAAGACCAUUGAAGAAGGGGUCAUGGAAUGUAGCUCAAGUCUUGAGUGAUUAUAGCCUUGAUUCAGAAGCAAUGUGUCUUUGUGUGAGAUUCACAGCACCAACUUUGAGUGCGAGACCUGGC
rnacentral:rRNA from 1 species